AUUGAACGCUGGCGGCAUGCUUUACGCAUGCAAGUCGAACGGUAACAGGUUAAGCUGACGAGUGGCGAACGGGUGAGUAAUGCAUCGGAACGUGCCCGAUCGUGGGGGAUAACGCAGCGAAAGCUGCGCUAAUACCGCAUACGAUCUGAGGAUGAAAGCGGGGGCCCGUAAGGCCUCGCGCGAUCGGAGCGGCCGAUGUCAGAUUAGGUAGUUGGUGGGGUAAAGGCCCACCAAGCCGCCGAUCUGUAGCUGGUCUCAGAGGACGACCAGCCACACUGGGACUGGGCCACGGCCCAGACUCCUACGUGAGGCAGCAAUGGGGAAUUUUGGACAAUGGGCGAAAGACUGAUCCAGCAAUGCCGCGUGUAGGAAGAAGGCCUUCGGGUUGUAAACUGCUUUUGUACGGAACGAAACGGCCCUUUCUAAUACAGGGGGCUAAUGACGGUACCGUAAGAAUAAGCACCGGCUAACUACGUGCCAGCCGCCGCGGUAA
rnacentral:rRNA from 1 species